rnacentral:rRNA from 1 species
GAUGAACGCUGGCGGCGUGCCUAAUACAUGCAAGUCGAGCGAACGGACGAGAAGCUUGCUUUUCUGAUGUUAGCGGCGGACGGGUGAGUAACACGUGGAUAACCUACCUAUAAGACUGGGAUAACUUCGGGAAACCGGAGCUAAUACCGGAUAAUAUUUUGAACCGCAUGGUUCAAAAGUGAUAGACGGUCUUGCUGUCACUUAUAGAUGGAUCCGCGCUGCAUUAGCUAGUUGGUAAGGUAACGGCUUACCAAGGCAACGAUGCAUAGCCGACCUGUGAGAGUGGUAGGCCACAUGGGAGCGGGGCCACGGUCCUGGGGCCUACGGGAGGCAGCAGUAGGGAACCUUACGCAAUGGGCGAAAGCCUGACGGAGCAACGCCGCGUGAGUGAUGAAGGUCUUCGGAUCGGAAAACUCUGUUAUUAGGGAAGAACAUAUGUGUAAGUAACUGUGCACAGCUUGACGGUACUUAAUCAGAAAGCCACGGCUAACUACGUG